rnacentral:tRNA from 1 species
UGUGGCUCAGUGACAGAGCUCUUGCUUUGCGUGCAUGAGGCCCUGGGUUGGAUUCCCAGCA